rnacentral:rRNA from 1 species
CCUACGGGCGGCAGCAGUCGAGAAUCAUUCACAAUGGGGGAAACCCUGAUGGUGCGACGCCGCGUGGGGGAAUGAAGGUCUUCGGAUUGUAAACCCCUGUCAUGUGGGAGCAAAUUAAAAAGAUAGUACCACAAGAGGAAGAGACUGCUAACUCUGUGCCAGCAGCCGCGGUAAUACAGAGGUCUCAAGCGUUGUUCGGAAUCACUGGGCGUAAAGCGUGCGUAGGCUGUUUCGUAAGUCGUGUGUGAAAGGCGCGGGCUCAACCCGCGGACGGCACAUGAUACUGCGAGACUAGAGUAAGGGAGGGGGAACCGGAAUUCUCGGUGUAGCAGUGAAAUGCGUAGAUAUCGAGAGGAACACUCGUGGCGAAGGCGGGUUCCUGGACAUUAACUGACGCUGAGGCACGAAGGCCAGGGGAGCGAAAGGGAUUAGAUACCCCAGUAGUC